CUUUACUAUAAGCACUAGAACCUUGAAACACACAUUGUAGCUAUGAGCAUAUGUGCGACAGUGCAUUAUUUGGAAUUUUGAUCUGAACCCUGGGUCAAAAGUUAUGGGGGUUGGGGUGGGGCCGGGUCAGAGAUUGUCACUCAUUUUUAUGUCCCCCACUAUAGUAGUGGGGGACAUAUUGUUUUUGCCCUGUCUGUUGGUCUGUCUGUUGGUCUGUCUGUUGGUCUGUUUGCGCCAACUUUAACAUUUUGCAAUAACUUUUGCUAUAUUGAAGGUAGCAACUUCAUAUUUGGCAUGCAUGUGUAUCUCAUGAAGCUGCACAUUUUGAGUGGUGAAAGGUCAAGGUCAUCCUUCAAGGUCAGAGGUCAAAUAUAUGUGGCCAAAAUCGCUCAUUUUAUGAAUACUUUUGCAAUAUUGAAGAUAGCAACUUGAUAUUUGGCAUGCAUGUGUAUCUCAUGGAGCUGCACAUUUUGAGUGGUGAAAGGUCAAGGUCAUCCUUCAAGGUCAGAGGUCAAAUAUAUGUGGCCAAAAUCGCUCAUUUUAUGAAUACUUUUGCAAUAUUGAAGAUAGCAACUUGAUAUUUGGCAUGCAUGUGUAUCUCAUGGAGCUGCACAUUUUGAGUGGUGAAAGGUCAAGGUCAAGGUCAUCCUUCAAGGUCAGAGGUCAAAUAUAUGUGGCCCAAAUUGCUUAUUUUAUUAAUACUUUUGCAAUAUUUAAGAUAGCAACUUGAUAUUUGGCAUGCAUGUGUAUCUCAUGGAGCUGCACAUUUUGAGUGGUGAAAGGUCAAGGUCAAGGUCAUCCUUCACAAGGUCAAGGUCAUCCUACAAGGUCAAACAUCAUAUAGGGGGACAUUGUGUUUCACAAACACAUCUUGUUUUAUGU